UGGUUCAAUAACAGUAAAGCUACUGUCAAUGUAUUUUGUUGUUGGAUUUGGUGACUGCACGACAGUUUAUAUGACAGUCAAUUACAGUCACCCUUACGUACGAGAUUCUGUGUGUUUUUUGUUGUUGGCUUUGCGAACUGUCGUAACUGUCAGCUGCAGUCAAAAUACUGUAGGUUUAACGUAAAAAGUUUUAUGUGUUUCUUUAUCUUGUUUGGUAUCGUGUAUGUAUUUUUGCAUUCCCAAGUAUAUAGCAAGCGUUUCUUGAAAAAACGAUUUCGGGCACACUUAAAAAGCGGCGUCGGUUUCGAGAAGUUGUGCAGCGAAAAAGUGAAGUGAAAAAGUUAAAAGUAAAAGUUAUGAGUGAUAUUGACGAAGUGGCUGCCUUGGAGGAGUGGGACUUCAGAGACCUAUUGCCCACAUUUCUCGGUGAGAGUAUUCACAUGUAACUAUAAAACAUAACUAUGUAAAUGGUAUCAACAAAAUAAAAGCUAUAGUCGAGACAAAAGUACCAGUUCGGAUGUGAAAUAUGGACAAAUAUAUAUUUGAAAUAUAUAUAUAUAAGUCCAUAAUAUUAUUAAUUAA